AAAAAUGGCUGGGUUAUUUUUUAACCCAAAAUGCUGGGUUGAGUCUGUUGGGUUGUUUUGCUGGGUUAUUUUUUUACAUUUUAAACACUUUUUGGGUAGUUUCAGUUUUCUAGGUGUUGGGUUAAAACUGCUGGGUUAUUAUGUUGGGUUGUUUGAAGAGGCUCACGCGUGCUUCGCGCCCUUGAUGUUUGAAUGUGCUCAGCAAUGGUCGUCGUGAAAGGACAGAGUCACUGAAGCAGUUGUUUCAAGAGUGUGCAGAGUUUUUAUGUCCAUCCAUUGAUGAGGCUAGCAAGACCUUCAAACAACUUCAGCCAAUUGCAACAAAUGUGGUGGAAUUUCUUCACUGGACAGAAUCCUCGAAACCCUUUCCUUUCUUCCUGGCCAUGGGAAACAUGCAGCAGAUCUCUCAAUCUUUUUUCUCAAUCAGUCUCUCUGAAUACGGAAGUGACUUAAACUGCAAUUCGGCCAAGAUGGCGAUGGUACGCACCGCCUACUUUAAGCUUCAAAAAUGCUCUUCACAAACCAAUAGGUGACGUCACGGACACUACUUGCAUAUUUUUUACAGUCUCUGGUUUAAAGGCAUUUUAAGUGCUUAAAAAAAUAAAUACCCCAGGCAAUGUGCUUCUAUGGGAAUUCCUGUAGUCUGUCAUUUUUCAAAUGGAUGAAUCCCCUGCUGUUCGAUUCCUUUGUACAUCUUUGUUCGCGACGAGUAACUUUAAUAAAUGAAGUAUUUUUAGUCAAAUACAUUCCAUUCUGUGAAACUUAAAACAUUUGUUCUUUAAAAAAACUUUACACAUCUAUGAAUGAUUUUACUUUUAAUUUAACAAUUACAUUGUUUCUUUUUUACACUGCUGUAGUUUUGUUUAUGUACAUUUCAGUAUUUCAUAUAUAUACUGUAAAAUUACAAAUUCUGUCUUAAAUUCAAACGAAUUGAUUCAACCUGUUACAUUGUUACUUCAAUGUGCAUAAUUUAUGAUAUUUUAUAAAUAUAUUUAUACUUGGGUCAGUAAGCAGUCCUUUAAAUGAUUUUGCAACUUACAACUGUAAAAAUGUAAGAGUUUGUAGUUAUUUUGCAAUCAAAUAAACAUUUAUUUGCUGUUAACAAUGGUCUUGAUUUACAAUAAAGCACAUGAUAAAAAUAACCCAGCAAAAAUAACCCAAAACCCAGAAUAUUAAUCCCAUAAAUGGUUAAAAUGACUACAUGUUGGGUUUUCUCAACAACCCAACCUGCUGGGUUAAAAUGUGUUACCCAACGUGUUGGGUUACUUUAACCCAGCAUGUGUUCUGUCCAAUAUUUACCCAGCGCUGGGUUGCCAAUUGGGUUGUUUUUAACCCAACC